UUGCUUCAGCAGCACAUAUACUAAAAUUGGAACGAUACAGAGAAGAUUAUCAUGGCCCCUGCGCAAGGAUGACACCCUUUUUCACAAUACUUCCUGAGCUUUG
ensembl:snRNA U6 U6 spliceosomal RNA